CACCACAGCCAUAUCACCCUGUAGCCCAAGACCAAUUACUCACCGAAGCUAAGCAGGGUGGAGCCUGGUCACUACCUUGAUGGAAGACCACAUGGGGAAAACAAGGUUGCUGUUGGAA
rfam:Danio rerio chromosome 14, GRCz11 reference primary assembly.